GGAGCAAGGACACCCGUCCCUUUCUAGUUCCUACUGAAUGAUGGAUGUGGGAGAGACAUCCCCUGGAAGGGCAGUCGGGAAAUGGCGGCGGAAGAGGAAGAAUUCCACUCCCCGCCCUCUUCUUUUCCCUACGGUUCUCGUGGCUGGUCAAAUUUUUUAAAAGGCAGGUUACCAGGAGGAAAUCAAAGGUUAAUUAACAUGUAUACUUGGGAGAAACCCAGGCAACCUGAGCAGCUCGCCAGAAUGGGCGAAGCUGCCACCUUAGUACGCAUCUUGAGCUAAAGACAAAGGAGGAGGAUGGGGGUAGUGGUUUGGGAUUUCAGAGGGGAGGAAGACAAUUUCCUUGGAGAUGGCAAUGCAAACGUUUGUCAACCAAGUUUUUGCUGGGCCCCAAAUGGGCUGCUUGUUGCCUUUCUACCACACCUAUUUUUCAUUAUACUAUAGCUAUCUUAUGGUUCUAGCUCCUUCCUGGAACAGGCCUUGACAAAUAGAGAUGGUAAGCAAUAGGAUAUAGUGGAGUAUACGAGGAAGCCAUUUGGUGUAAACCUAAUUCGGCCUGACUUUGGUUUUUCCAAAAGGGCCUGACGUGGCCAUUGAGCAUGCAUUGUAGAUCUGCUUUAAACACGGCAAGAACGAAGGCCCUUAAGAUAAAGGUGCAACUUCCGCCCACACUGGCAUUUCCUUAAGGAUAAGCAUCUCUCCCUAGGCUAGGAACUGACUGUUGCGCUCACCUUUGAGCACCCAGCUCACCAGUGACCACCCAGCUAGAGACUACAGACCUGCCACCCUGCUGUGUCCACCGAGACAGCAGACCUACCGGCUGUGUCCAUCAAUCGCUGUGCCCACAGAGCAGCCUCACGACUAUUGUAAAAGGGACAUUUCAAUCACACGUGAAACAUCCUCUUUGGGGGUAUACAACGACUCUGUACACCCCACUUCUUCGGCGCCCUUUCUUCCUUCGGGAAGGCUCUGGGCCACGGUCCUCACAUUUUAGCUCAGAAUAUACUCACCCACAUUGUCAUUUACAGAUUGGUUACGGAUUAUGUUCAUCAACAGCCUUCUCCGUUAAAUUCUUUUAAGCAGCUUGGGGGGAAGGUCAAAUGUUCUUCCUGAGUCUUCCGAGCCUUUGUCCGUCUUCAGCUCGGAUACCAGAGCGCCACGUCCUGGGGCAGCCUGUCUUGAACCCCGUCAAAACCCUGCCCGCAGCAUUUUAACGAGUACAGGAAGAGCAUGGAGACAGAAGAGAGAAGAAAUUCUUGCAGAAAAUGCAGGAUUUCAGCAUUCGGGGAGAGGUGAAGGAAAAGGGCAGAGAAGACCAAGGUCUAAGGCAGGAGGAAGUGACAUCCCUUAGGUUUUGCGCUGAGCCGACAAAGCACUGCACUGAGCCUCGCUCAGUAUGGCGCUGUUCGUGAAGACCGCCGAACAGCAGCACAAAACAAAGUGCACAAUUAAGCUGCGGGACUACCCACACACACACACACAGAGCUCGAGCCUCGGUAAGUCUCUAAAAACAAAUUUCUUCCGUCGUUCCAUACGCACAACAAGAAAGCAAAAACACAGCCGUGGCGUACGCUUACGUCUCUCGCAGAAUAGAAAAACGGAAACGCUCACAAUCUUUCUUUUAAAACCCUGUUAUUCCCCCGUGGGGGUGCACCGUUCCUGGAGGUACUGCAAUACCAGGUCGAUGCGCGGAGUGGACGGAGCAAGCUCCUAUUCCAUCUCCCUGCUCCAAAAAUCCAUUUAAUAUAUUGUCCUCGGAUAGAGGACGUAUCAGAUAUUAAACUGAUAAGAACAGAUACUACACUUGAUCUUAGCCAAAAGGCCGAGAAGCGAUACUCCCCGCCCAGGCCUCCCCGCCGCCGGCCUCCUACCACGCACUUUCAACUCACGGUGAGUCGCCGGACGCUCAGCCCAGGUCUCACUUCCUUUGCUUCUGCGACAAUCCUCUGAGAAUUCACCACACAGUCGGCUCUGGUGCAGAUUUUCAAUCCUCCGGAUUUUUAAAGAGAACUUACCUACCUGUUGUUGCCCCGUCGUUCUGGGACGGAAACGCCAUUCUGAAUCUGCAUGCCCCGCCCUUUCCCGCCCGAGGAGGCGUGGCUACGGCGGGUCCGCCGUACCUCCCGGGCCGCCUCCGCGCGCCCUCAGCGGGAGCUGGGCUUCUCUUUCGUGCCAACGGAGAGAAAAGUCAGCACCGCGGCCGCGAAGGCCGGGCGGCGGCAAGAGGGCCUGAGGAAGGCAGCUGGCGGCGGACAGUUUCCCGAAGGCACACGGGGUCGCGAGACGGCUUCACCGGAAACGCCCGGACUGUAUCGUGUUACAUCGGGUGUCCGCGGGCGGAAAGACGAGCUUGGGAGGCGGCGGAGGAGGGGCUCACCGAUUCAGGGAGCCGAAGGUCUUGGGGGCGUCCCCCCGAGCGGCGGGGCCAGCCUGCGCGCCGGGCGGAGGGCGCAGGGCGCAGGGCGCAGGGCGGAGGGCGGAGGGCGGAGGGCGGAGGGCGGAGGGGGGCGCAGGGCCGGCGGUGGGGAGGGGCGGGGAGGCGUGUCUGGGGGCGGGGCGGCCGCAUGGAUUCUCUCCGCCUCCGGCACCUGCGUCUCUGGGUGCUUCUGGGGAGGAACCGUGUCCUGGGCUGCGUCCCUCGAGCUCCCCGUGCCUGGGACAUGGUUUCCCUACAGCUCUUCCUCACCUGGCAGAUACUCUGCACCCUGCUUGGCUGUCACUUCUUGCAGAAAGCCUGCCUUAAGGGCCCUGCCGCCCCCGCCCCCAGUCUCGGUAGCGGCCUUCCUACGUAUUUCAUCCCACCCGCACCGGUCCGGCGCCCCGCGGGUAGGAGAUGCUCCGCAAAGGUUUGCUCGCUGAAUUAAAGAUGCGCAAGAGGGACUGAAUCAGAGAAGAAGUUAGGAGGCUGCUGGCCCGAUGCGGGGGUGAAGAAGGGAAGAUCUGGCCAGGGGCGGCAGGACACCAGAGAGGAGAGGCGACUGCCGGGGAUGCUCUGGGCGGGCAUCAAGGCCCGUCGAUGCGUUAAGGCCUCUGGCCAAGUUGGGGUAAAGGUUCCCCCUGUGGCGAAGACCGCCGGCUGCCCGCUCAGCCUUUCCCGUCCGCCCUCCUAAGAGAGGUUCCGUGUAGCGGGGGAGUUGAUGUUGCUUUCAUCUGGUCUCAGAAGAGCUAGGCGGUAUCGUGGGUGUAAGACUGAAGCCCCGUCGGUCGUUUCACUCUGCAGCACGGGAAGCCUGAUGGCAGGUGCUGCCCGAGCCCUCCGGAUGCCAGCCCCUGGGCUGAGGGCUCUCCGUGUAUUAGCGCAGUUAAUUCCCUCGAGGGCCGAGGGCCGGUGAGGUGGGUAUUGUUGUUGUCAGUAUCUAGGGCCAGGAGUAGGGGGAGGCCGGGGAGGCACUCUCCUUGGGGGAGGGAGGGAUUGACGGGAGUGCCCC
rnacentral:lncRNA from 1 species